GAUGAACGCUGGCGGCGUGCCUAACACAUGCAAGUCGAGCGAACGGACGAGAAUCUUGCUCCUCUGAUUUUAUCGGCGGACGGGUUCUUCACACGUGUAUAACCUACCUCUAAGACUUUGAUAAUUUCGGGAAACCGGAUCUACUACCGGAUAAUAUUUUGCACCGCAUUGUUCAAACGUGAAAGACGGUCUUGCUGUCACUUAUAGAUUGAUCCGCCCUGCAUUAGCUAGUUGGUAAGGUAACGGCUUAACAAGGCUACGAUGCAUACCCGACCUGAGAGGGAGAACGGCCACACGGGAAGUGAGAAAGGGUAGAGACUCCGACGGGAGGCAGCAGUCGGGAAUCUUCCGCGAGGGGCGAGAGCGGAACAGAGCAACACGGCGGGAGUGAUGAAGGACUUAGGAUGGUAAAGCGCUGUUAGUAGGAAAGAACAUAUGUGUAAGUAACAGGGCAGAUCUUGACGGUACCUAAACAGAAAGCCACGGCUAACUACGUG
rnacentral:rRNA from 1 species